rnacentral:rRNA from 1 species
AGAACGAACGCUGGCGGCAGGCCUAAUACAUGCAAGUCGAACGCACUCUUCGGAGUGAGUGGCAGACGGGUGAGUAACGCGUGGGAACCUUCCCAAUGGUACGGAAUAAUUCCGGGAAACCGGUGCUAAUACCGUAUAAGCCCCUCGGGGGAAAGAUUUAUCGCCAUUGGAUGGGCCCGCGUCGGAUUAGCUAGUUGGUAAGGUAAUGGCUUACCAAGGCUACGAUCCGUAGCUGGUCUGAGAGGAUGAUCAGCCACACUGGGACUGAGACACGGCCCAGACUCCUACGGGAGGCAGCAGUAGGGAAUCUUGGACAAUGGGCGAAAGCCUGAUCCAGCCAUGCCGCGUGAGUGAAGAAGGCCUUAGGGUUGUAAAGCUCUUUUGGCGGGGACGAUAAUGACGGUACCCGCAGAAUAAGCCCGGCUAACUUCGUGCCAGCAGCCGC